rnacentral:lncRNA from 1 species
AUGUCUGCCGAACCUAUUCGCUCGGUUUUAGGCUCCGUUUCGACGGAUGACACCUCGCUGGUCCUGCCGUCCGACAAGACUCAACGGAGGGGUCAGGAGCGCGUGCAGGAGCAGGUCAAGAGCAUUCGAAGGAAGACGAAGAUUGUCAAGAAUGACUCCAUCCCGUCGCCGACAACUCCAGCAUCAGCGACAGAAUACAGUGAGCCUAAAUUCCAGUUCUCACCGGCAAAAGUGAACAACACACUCUUCAGAUUUAGUGGUUCCAACAUGACUACAACCCAGAACAGAAUGACUGGUCGCAGCGUGUCAGUGCGCCACACUGUGAAAAGGCAGACCCAAAACAGCCAGUGGGACUCUCGGAUGUCUUGGAAUGCUCAGUCUAAGCCCAAUGGGAUGAAGCUCAGUGGCAGCGACCCUUCCUUAAAUAAGAUAGCUACCCAGAAUUCUGUGGAAAGAGUCGCUACCAUACGACAGAAUCGUUCUGUACAAUCUAUGAAAGUGAAGAAUUCUCCUCCGGUUGCUGCCAACCAAGCACAGACAAUCACAAAAGUCAUCAAGACCAAAUCAGAAGCGCCGGGUGUGAAUGGAGCCAUGGGAGUGAUGCCCAACAUCACUCUGCAGGAAGCAGUGGAUUAUCUGACACACGAAGACAUCAGUCAUCAGCUGUGUGGAGCUUCAUUCAUACAGCACAACACCUUCACAGAGGACACGGCCAAACAAGAGGUCAGGACACUGACUCGUGUAGCUGAAGCAAGACUAUAGUAUCUAUUAAACUUGUUCAUGUUUUGUCUAUCUUUCUCUGUCAGUCUGUUUUGUU